CGCCUGCCCUGUGACUAAAAGUUCAACGGCCGCGGUAUUUUGACCGUGCAAAGGUAGCGCAAUCACUUGUCUUUUAAAUGAAGACCUGUAUGAAUGGCAUGACGAGGGCUUAACUGUCUCCUUUUUCCAGUCAAUGAAAUUGAUCUUCCCGUGCAGAAGCGGGAAUAUAACCAUAAGACGAGAAGACCCUAUGGAGCUUUAGACACAAGACAGAUCUUGUUAAACACUUCAAAAUAAAGAAACAAACUAAAAGAACCCUGCCCUACUGUCUUCGGUUGGGGCGACCACGGGGAGAUAAACAACCCCCACGCGGACUGAGAAAACAGUUCUCACAACCAAGAGCUACAGCUCUAAUCGACAGAAAAUCUGACCUCAAGAUCCGGCAACGCCGAUCAACGAACCGAGUUACCCUAGGGAUAACAGCGCAAUCCCCUUCUAGAGUCCAUAUCGACAAGGGGGUUUACGACCUCGAUGUUGGAUCAGGACAUCCUAAUGGUGCAGCAGCUAUUAAGGGUUCGUUUGUUCAACGAUUAAAGUCCU
rnacentral:rRNA from 1 species